CGUAUCGAAGAAAUUUUGAUUCAUAUUUGUUGUUCUUAAAGGAAUGAUAUCGUUCGUUUUGGUGCAUUGCACAAUAAACAUAUAAAGUUAUAAAUGGUUUAUAUGUAAUAUUAUAAUAACUAUAAUAUUAUUGUGCUUACUUUAAAGUGCAUUUAAAAUCUGUAUACGAUUAUUUUUAGAUACAACCAUGGCACUAAGACCUGCUGUACGAAAUAGUUUAGUUAUUGGAGGUAUAGUGGCAAUGAUCGGAACACAUUUUUAUAUGAAUAUAUUCCAACCCGUGAUGAAUCCAGAAAUGUAUAAUCAGAUGCGAGAACAGACACAAGCAUAUUAUGAAGGUAGGAGGAAGACAUAAACAUAGUUAGAAAAAGAUUUUUGCUGCAAGAAGUUUCUUAUUUGUGACUAGAAACUUUCCUACAAGCAUAGAAUUUUAUGAACAUAAUAUACAGUCCAUUUUAAAAGUCAUCAUGAUCACAAACAUCGAGGAAGACGUCAAAUGCCUCACGAUUACAGUUUCCAUCAGUAGUGAAAACAUAUUUAUGAAAUGUUCCAUCCAUACAAAUCGCUGUAAUAUAAUAUAAAAUAUGUAUAAAGAAUAACUAAUAUAUUUAAACAUGUUACAUUACUAUAA